rnacentral:rRNA from 1 species
UACGAAGGGGGCUAGCGUUGUUCGGAAUUACUGGGCGUAAAGGGCGCGUAGGCGGUGUGUCAAGUCAGGCGUGAAAGCCCCGGGCUCAACCUGGGAACCGCGCUUGAGACUGGCACGCUCGAGUUCGGGAGAGGAUGGUGGAAUUCCCAGUGUAGAGGUGAAAUUCGUAGAAAUUGGGAAGAACACCGAUGGCGAAGGCAGCCAUCUGGACCGACACUGACGCUGAGGCGCGAAAGCGUGGGGAGCAAACAGG